rnacentral:rRNA from 1 species
UUCGGGCGCCGGCGAGUGGCGAACGGGUGAGUAACACGUGGAGACCUAUCCAUUGGUGGGGGACAACAGCUGGAAACGGCUGCUAAUACCGCAUAAUCCCUACGGGGGAAAGAUUUAUCGCCAUAGGAGGGUUCCGCGUCGGAUUAGCUAGUUGGUGGGGUAACGGCCUACCAAGGCGACGAUCCGUAGCUGGUCUUAGAGGAUGAUCAGCCACACUGGGACUGGGACACGGCCCAGACUCCUACGGGAGGCAGCAGUGGGGAAUAUUGCGCAAUGGAGGAAACUCUGACGCAGCGAUGCCGCGUGGGUGAAGAAGGCCUUAGGGUUGUAAAGCCCUUUCAGUGGGAACGAUGGUGACGGUACCCACAGAAGAAGCCCCGGCUAACUCCGUGCCAGCAGCCGCGGUAAUACGGAGGGGGCGAGCGUUGUUCGGAAUUAUUGGGCGUAAAGCGCGCGUAGGCGGUUUAUUAAG